CGGACGGGUGAGUAACACGUGGAUAACCUACCUAUAAGACUGGGAUAACUUCGGGAAACCGGAGCUAAUACCGGAUAAUAUAUUGAACCGCAUGGUUCAAUAGUGAAAGACGGUUUUGCUGUCACUUAUAGAUGGAUCCGCGCCGCAUUAGCUAGUUGGUAAGGUAACGGCUUACCAAGGCAGCGAUGCGUAGCCGACCUGAGAGGGUGAUCGGCCACACUGAACUGAGACACGGUCCAGACUCCUACGGGAGGCAGCAGCC
rnacentral:rRNA from 1 species